UACGUAGGGGGCUAGCGUUGUCCGGAAUCAUUGGGCGUAAAGCGCGUGUAGGCGGUCCGGUAAGUCCGCUGUGAAAGUCGGGGGCUCAACCCUCGAAUGCCGGUGGAUACUGUCGGGCUAGAGUGCGGAAGAGGCGAGUGGAAUUCCUGGUGUAGCGGUGAAAUGCGCAGAUAUCAGGAGGAACACCGGUGGCGAAGGCGGGUCUCUGGGCCGUAACUGACGCUGGAGGAGCGAAAGCAUGGGGAGCGAACAGG
rnacentral:rRNA from 1 species